rnacentral:rRNA from 1 species
AUUGAACGCUGGCGGCAGGCCUAACACAUGCAAGUCGAACGGAGCGGCGGGCGGGUGAGUAAUGCCUAGGAAUCUGCCUGGUAGUGGGGGAUAACGUCCGGGAACGGGCGCUAAUACCGCAUACUAUCAGAUGAGCCUAGGUCGGAUUAGCGAGUUGGUGGGGUAAAGGCCUACCAAGGCGACGAUCCGUAACUGGUCUGAGAGGAUGAUCAGUCACACUGGAACUGAGACACGGCCCAGACUCCUACGGGAGGCAGCAGUGGGGAAUAUUGGACAAUGGGCGAAAGCCUGAUCCAGCCAUGCCGCGUGUGUGAAGAAGGUCUUCGGAUCGUAAAGCACUUUAAGUUGGGAGGCGGUACCAACAGAAUAAGCACCGGCUAACUACGUGCCAGCAGCCGCGGUAAUAC